GUUUAUUCCUGAACAUAUACUGAAAUUGAUACAGUACAGAGAAGAUUAGCACGGGUCCUGCUCAAUAUUCCUAUUACAGUUGUAGUUCCAAUAAUA
rnacentral:snRNA from 1 species